rnacentral:rRNA from 1 species
CAGCCGCCACGGUAAGACAGAGGAUGCAAGCGUUAUCCGGAAUGAUUGGGCGUAAAGCGCACGUAGGCGGCUUUGUAAGUUAGAGGUGAAAGCCCGGGGCUCAACCCCGGAAUAGCCUUUAAGACUGCAUCGCUUGAACGUCGGAGAGGUGAGUGGAAUUCCGAGUGUAGAGGUGAAAUUCGUAGAUAUUCGGAAGAACACCAGUGGCGAAGGCGGCUCACUGGACGACUGCUGACGCUGAGGUGCGAAAGCGUGGGGAGCAAACAGGAUUAGAUACCCCGGUAGUCCCUGUCUCUUAUAC